rfam:Triticum aestivum genome assembly, contig: Triticum_aestivum_CS42_TGACv1_scaffold_199248_3AL
GUAGUAUUCCCUCCGUCCCAAAAUUCUUGUCUUACAUUUGUUUAGAUACGGAUGUAUCUAACACUAAAAUGUAACUAGAUACAUCCGUAUUUAGACAAAUUUAAGGCAAGAAUUUUGGGACGGAGGGAGUACAAA